rnacentral:rRNA from 1 species
AACGAACGCUGGCGGCAGGCUUAACACAUGCAAGUCGAGCGCAUCCUUCGGGGUGAGCGGCAGACGGGUGAGUAACGCGUGGGAAUCUACCUUUUGCUACGGAAUAGCUCCGGGAAACUGGAAUUAAUACCGUAUGUGCCCUUAGGGGGAAAGAUUUAUCGGCAAGAGAUGAGCCCGCGUUGGAUUAGCUAGUUGGUGGGGUAAGGGCCUACCAAGGCGACGAUCCAUAGCUGGUCUGAGAGGAUGAUCAGCCACAUUGGGACUGAGACACGGCCCAAACUCCUACGGGAGGCAGCAGUGGGGAAUAUUGGACAAUGGGCGCAAGCCUGAUCCAGCCAUGCCGCGUGAGUGAUGAAGGCCUUAGGGUUGUAAAGCUCUUUCACCGGAGAAGAUAAUGACGGUAUCCGGAGAAGAAGCCCCGGCUAACUUCGUG